rnacentral:rRNA from 1 species
GACGAACGCUGGCGGCGUGCUUAACACAUGCAAGUCGAACGCUGAAGCCUAGCUUGCUGGGUGGAUGAGUGGCGAACGGGUGAGUAACACGUGAGUAACCUGCCCUCUUCUUUGGGAUAACGCCCGGAAACGGGUGCUAAUACUGGAUAUUCACUGAUCUUCGCAUGGGGGUUGGUGGAAAGGUUUUUUCUGGUGGGGGAUGGGCUCGCGGCCUAUCAGCUUGUUGGUGGGGUGAUGGCCUACCAAGGCUUUGACGGGUAGCCGGCCUGAGAGGGUGACCGGUCACAUUGGGACUGAGAUACGGCCCAGACUCCUACGGGAGGCAGCAGUGGGGAAUAUUGCACAAUGGGCGAAAGCCUGAUGCAGCGACGCCGCGUGAGGGAUGGAGGCCUUCGGGUUGUAAACCUCUUUCGCUCAUGGUCAAGCCGCAA